rnacentral:rRNA from 1 species
GACGAACGCUGGCGGCGUGCUUAACACAUGCAAGUCGAACGGAAAGGCCCUGCUUUUGUGGGGUGCUCGAGUGGCGAACGGGUGAGUAACACGUGAGUAACCUGCCCUUGACUUUGGGAUAACUUCAGGAAACUGGGGCUAAUACCGGAUAGGAGCUCCUGCUGCAUGGUGGGGGUUGGAAAGUUUCGGCGGUUGGGGAUGGACUCUCGGCUUAUCAGCUUGUUGGUGGGGUAGUGGCUUACCAAGGCUUUGACGGGUAGCCGGCCUGAGAGGGUGACCGGCCACAUUGGGACUGAGAUACGGCCCAGACUCCUACGGGAGGCAGCAGUGGGGAAUAUUGCACAAUGGGCGGAAGCCUGAAGCAGCAACGCCGCGUGCGGGAUGAAGGCCUUCGGGUUGUAAACCGCUUUCGCCUGUGACGAAGCGUGAGUGACGGUAAUGGGUAAAGAAGCACCGGCUAACUACGUG